AAAGCAUUUUUAUACAUGCGUAGCAACAAUCUUCCAAACAACACAAAUUUUUCACAUAAAAAAUGGCAUCAAAUGGUGUCAAAGAAUCAAAUAUAUAGCAAAGAUACAAAUUUUGGAGGUCAGAUAUUGCAUAUCAUCUCGUCAGCCAUUGAUUCAGCUUAAACAUGAUCUCUCUUGCUUUCCUUUCUGUGUUUUCUUGGGAUUCAAUAUUGCCAUAUAUUUGAUCCUUUGACCUCACCAGAAACAUCAACACUAAGCAUAUCUUAAAUUUUCUUGACCCUGUCAUUUUUCUGUUCUUUCUUCCUCGACUGAGAAGUAAGAUGGUUCCUAAGCCUGGCUUUACAAUGAAUUUGAAUUCUGCUCAAGAACAACAAUGAGAUGAAGAAGAAUGAAACAACGAACUGAUCAUAGAAUUGUACCAUUAUAUAGAGAGAAAUAAUAAAAAAGGGAAAGAAAGACCAUAAUUCAAGAACACACAGUACUACAUUUAUUUACAUAGGACAUAAGUAUAUGUAAAGAUACAUCUGCAUACAACUAGUGAAGAAGUUGAGUUAGACAGAGCUUUUGAUGGCUUUGCUGUAACCAGUUUGAUCAUCAUAAUAUUUGGACCACAGCAUAACCCCUCCAUACUUAUCAGAACCCUUGAUUGCUGGAAGCACUCGAGAGGUGAGAUCAGCUACCGGGAUGAAACCACUACCAGCUGCCUCCGGAGCAGCGGGUAAUCCCAAGAAAAUCUUGUUAGCAGGGAUAUCUGAAGUCCAUUGCUUCCAUGCAUUUUCAAGAUUGGUAAUACUUUCAGAGGAGUAUUGGCAGGGAGGAUUGUUAUAGAAUUGAACCCAAACAUAGUCAAAAAGACCCGUCUUAAGGGCGUUUCCUACCCAAGCAUCAGGAAAUGGGCACUGGGGAGCUGCAGUUAAGUAUACUUUUUUACCUUUCUUGCUAUAUGCUGAAAGGAACCUUGCCAGAUCAUCCCAGUGUUGGUUUGUUCCUCCUUCAAUGUCAAAAUCAAUCCCAUCUAGAACAGCUGGUCCAAGUGGGCGAGAAGAAGAUUGACCACCUAAGAAGUUGUUCCAAAGGUAAGUGGCAACCUGCCUGGCAUCCUCAGUAGAUGCAAGAUAGUAACUACCAGCUCCUCCACCUAUAGAAAGAAUCACCUUAAUUCCUUUGGCUUGACAUGAUUUAAUAUCAGAACUCAGUCCCGUGCAACCAUUGCUGUAUGGAUCACAAUGACCAGCGAGAUUGAUCAUAGGAGUCUGACCAUUGCCAAAACUGGCCAGGAAAGCUAUAUUCACAAAGUCAUAGUUUCCUGUGGCACAAGUCUCCGCCAAGGUCCCCUCAUUUCCAUUCUGACCCCAGUAGAUUGCUAUUCCCCCAGCUUCAGAACCCACAAGUAGUACUAGAAUCACUGAUAAGAGGAAUGCUAGUGAGAUUGCUGAACUCGAUGCCAUUCUGAAUGCAAUGUACUUCCCAGGAUUUGCUGCUUGGUGCUUGAAACUGUUCUCAGGAGCAUACAUUUAUAGGGGAAUUAAAUCGAACCAACUAUGGGCUCAUUUGUUUUGUUUCUUUUUUGGAAGACUGCGUGGAUUAUCAGUCACUUUGCUGCAGCUGAUAUGGAUGAAUGGAAGUGACUGGACGCAGACGGCUUAUCUUGAACACAUAUUGAGCAAGUACUCACAUCUUCAAUGCCCAAUUUUGAGUUGUUCUUGUUUAUCAUUACUAGAAAAUGACAAACACUACUAGUAUAAAAUCAUAUUUCCAGGAUUUUUUAUAGGUUCUAAUUUAUCACAUCUUUUACUGAAAACUUUAACCCUUGGGUUGUUGUAUACUGAUUUGUUGUCUAAUAUUUUUUUUUUUCGUCCUUUUGCUUUACAAAUAAGGGGGAAGAGACUCUGAAUUUGAAACUUAGUGUGUAUGUAUAUGUGUGUGUAUAGAGGGUAGAGCAACAAAAUAAACUAUCAGAGACAAAAUCUAUAAUUUUCUCAAUAAGAUCACUAUUGAAAAUUCACAAUUAGACUUAUGUGUCUUUAAUUGAUUAUAAUAGUAAUAAGUUGGAGGAGGUAAAUCCUUUAAAAUAAAAUUUGAAGAAAGGAAAAGGGGGAAUUUUGGAUUUAAAUUGCAUGAUAUAUAUAUAAAAAAUUUUUGCUAACUUAUUU
rnacentral:misc_RNA from 1 species